rnacentral:piRNA from 1 species
UAGAUGUCCACAUCCGACUUCAUGAUGGA